rnacentral:lncRNA from 1 species
AGGACGGGCACCAAAUCUGCAUUGUCCAUUGCUAUUUCCCAGGUUGAGUUGCUGAAGCGGCUUCAUUGUCUGGGGACAUACCCAAGGUUCGUCAUCGCGUGACGAGAAGAUUAAGGACACAGACGCAAACACGGAGCGGGUCAAGUAGCGGAAAGUUUAAUAGGCAGGAAAGAAGAGAACAGCUCACCGGUAGAGAGGCGUCAAUGGUGUGCCAGAUAAGAAGCUAUGCACUGAAAAGAUGGAGAGGCUGAAGGGGUAGCCACUGUUGAUUUUGGGACAGUAUAGUCAAAAUUCAAUAAAUACUUAUUGAAUAAACAGAUUUUAAAAGGACAUUGAAGAAUGAAAAAGAAAAGGAGCGGCGAGAUUCUGCAUCUUAGCUUGCCUAGGUGGGGAGGAGGAAAAAGGAGGAAGACUGAAGCACAAAGCUUCUCUCGUCUGUGUCACCCUCUGCAAGGAGUUUGCAGUUGGACUGGAAAACCCACAUUUCCCACUGAGUGCUUUACCACUCUCAGUGGAACUUAGGUUCUGAUACUGAGAACAAAGGAGAGAAUGGACAAUGAAGGGAUCACUAGCAGUUUUCAUUACAAAUAGUAUCUUGAAAAAACCUUAACAAUAAGGUGAGGUGUGGUGGCUCAUGCCUGUAAUAUCAGCACUUUGGGAGACCGAGGUGGGCAGAUUGCUUGAGCCCAGGAGUUCCAGACCAGCCUGGGCAACAUGGCGAAACCCUGUCUCUACAAAAAUAUACAAAAAAUUAGCCAGCAUGG